AGGGUUUGAUCAUGGCUCAGAACGAACGCUGGCGGCAUGCUUCAGACAUGCAAGUCGAACGAGAUCUUCGGAUCUAGUGGCGCACGGGUGAGUAACGCGUGGGAACCUACCUUUCAGUUCGGAAUAACAGUUGGAAACGACUGCUAAUACCGUAUACGCCCUCAGGGGGAAAGGUCAGCCGCUGAAAGAGGGGCCCGCGUCUGAUUAGCUAGUUGGUGGGGUAAAGGCCUACCAAGGCAUCGAUCAGUAGCUGGUCUGAGAGGAUGAUCAGCCACACUGGGACUGAGACACGGCCCAGACUCCUACGGGAGGCAGCAGUGGGGAAUUUUCCGCAAUGGGCGAAAGCCUGACGGAGCAACGCCGCGUGAGGGAUGAAGGCCUCUGGGCUGUAAACCUCUUUUAUCAAGGAAGAAGAUCUGACGGUACUUGAUGAAUAAGCCACGGCUAAUUCCGUGCCAGCAGCCGCGGUAAUACGGGAGUGGCAAGCGUUAUCCGGAAUUAUUGGGCGUAAAGCGUCCGCAGGCGGCCCUUCAAGUCUGCUGUUAAAAAGUGGAGCUUAACUCCAUCAUGGCAGUGGAAACUGUUGGGCUUGAGUGUGGUAGGGGCAGAGGGAAUUCCCGGUGUAGCGGUGAAAUGCGUAGAUAUCGGGAAGAACACCAGUGGCGAAGGCGCUCUGCUGGGCCAUCACUGACGCUCAUGGACGAAAGCCAGGGGAGCGAAAGGGAUUAGAUACCCCUGUAGUCCUGGCCGUAAACGAUGAACACUAGGUGUCGGGGGAAUCGACCCCCUCGGUGUCGUAGCCAACGCGUUAAGUGUUCCGCCUGGGGAGUACGCACGCAAGUGUGAAACUCAAAGGAAUUGACGGGGGCCCGCACAAGCGGUGGAGUAUGUGGUUUAAUUCGAUGCAACGCGAAGAACCUUACCAGGGUUUGACAUCCUGCGAAUCUCUUGGAAACGAGAGAGUGCCUUCGGGAGCGCAGUGACAGGUGGUGCAUGGCUGUCGUCAGCUCGUGUCGUGAGAUGUUGGGUUAAGUCCCGCAACGAGCGCAACCCACGUCUUUAGUUGCCAGCAUUCAGUUGGGCACUCUAGAGAGACCGCCGGUGAUAAACCGGAGGAAGGUGUGGAUGACGUCAAGUCAUCAUGCCCCUUACAUCCUGGGCUACACACGUACUACAAUGCUACGGACAAAGGGCAGCAAGUUCGCGAGGACAAGCAAAUCCCAUAAACCGUGGCUCAGUUCAGAUCGUAGGCUGCAACUCGCCUACGUGAAGGAGGAAUCGCUAGUAAUCGCAGGUCAGCAUACUGCGGUGAAUACGUUCCCGGGCCUUGUACACACCGCCCGUCACACCAUGGAAGUUGGCCACGCCCGAAGCCGUUACUCCAACCCUUGUGGAGGAGGACGUCGAAGGUGGGGCUGAUGACUGGGGUGAAGUCAUAACAAGGUAGCCGUA
rnacentral:rRNA from 1 species